GACGAACGCUGGCGGCGUGCUUAACACAUGCAAGUCGAACGGAAAGGCCCCUUUGGGGGUCCUCGAGUGGCGAACGGGUGAGUAACACGUGAGUAACCUGCCCUUGACUUCGGGAUAACUUCAGGAAACUGGGGCUAAUACCGGAUAGGAAUCCUUGCUGCAUGGUGGGGGUUGGAAAGCUUCGGCGGUUUUGGAUGGACUCGCGGCUUAUCAGCUUGUUGGUGGGGUAGUGGCUUACCAAGGCUUUGACGGGUAGCCGGCCUGAGAGGGCGACCGGCCACCUUGGGACUGGGAUUCGGCCCAGGCCCCCACCGGGGGCAGGCGGUGGGAAUAUUUCCCCAUGGGGCGGAGCCUGAUGCCGCCACGCCGGGGGCGGGAUUGCGGGCCUCGGGUUGUAAACCGCUUUCAGCAGGGGCGAAGCUUGUGGUGACGGUACCUGCAGAAGAAGCACCGGCUAACUACGUG
rnacentral:rRNA from 1 species